GCACGCACACCAAGCAACGCAAGAAAGUGGGAUGAAUCUCUAAAUUAAUGCACCUUCACAAGGCCACCAAGGGAGGGAAGAGAGGUGCUAGUAUGACCCUUCACACCUGUAAAGGGGAUGCCCAUGAAGGGCCCACACCAAGAGGAAGAGGGGUGGCAAGGAGGAGAGCACACCAAGGAUGGAUGCCCACAAGCUCUUCAUGCCUCUCUCUCUCUUUCUCUCUUUCUCUUAAUCUGAUUUCUAUCUCUUAUGCAUCCAUAGUUAGAGAUCCUCUUUAUUUAUAGAUAAUUCUCAUAACCCAAUAAGUAUAGAACUUCUAACUCAAACAUACUUUGAAUCAAUCCACUACUUAUCAAAGAAGGACUCCCACUUG
rnacentral:lncRNA from 1 species